AGACCCGAAACCCGGUGAUCUAGCCAUGGGCAGGUUGAAGGUUGGGUAACACUAACUGGAGGACCGAACCGACUAAUGUUGAAAAAUUAGCGGAUGACCUGUGGCUGGGGGUGAAAGGCCAAUCAAACCGGGAGAUAGCUGGUUCUCCCCGAAAGCUAUUUAGGUAGCGCCUCGUGAAUUCAUCUCCGGGGGUAGAGCACUGUUUCGGCUAGGGGGCCAUCCCGGCUUACCAACCCGAUGCAAACUGCGAAUACCGGAGAAUGUUAUCACGGGAGACACACGGCGGGUGCUAACGUCCGUCGUGAAGAGGGAAACAACCCAGACCGCCAGCUAAGGUCCCAAAGUCAUGGUUAAGUGGGAAACGAUGUGGGAAGGCCCAGACAGCCAGGAUGUUGGCUUAGAAGCAGCCAUCAUUUAAAGAAAGCGUAAUAGCUCACUGGUCGAGUCGGCCUGCGCGGAAGAUGUAACGGGGCUAAACCAUGCACCGAAGCUGCGGCAGCGACGCUGAUGCGUUGUUGGGUAGGGGAGCGUUCUGUAAGCCUGCGAAGGUGGCCUGUGAGGGUUGCUGGAGGUAUCAGAAGUGCGAAUGCUGACAUAAGUAACGAUAAAGCGGGUGAAAAGCCCGCUCGCCGGAAGACCAAGGGUUCCUGUCCAACGUUAAUCGGGGCAGGGUGAGUCGACCCCUAAGGCGAGGCCGAAAGGCGUAGUCGAUGGGAAACGGGUUAAUAUUCCCGUACUUGGUGUUACUGCGAAGGGGGGACGGAGAAGGCUAUGUUGGCCGGGCGACGGUUGUCCCGGUUUAAGCGUGUAGGUGUGUGUUCCAGGUAAAUCCGGUUCACUUUAACACUGAGGCGUGAUGACGAGGCACUACGGUGCUGAAGCAACAAAUGCCCUGCUUCCAGGAAAAGCCUCUAAGCAUCAGGUAACAUCAAAUCGUACCCCAAACCGACACAGGUGGUCAGGUAGAGAAUACCAAGGCGCUUGAGAGAACUCGGGUGAAGGAACUAGGCAAAAUGGUGCCGUAACUUCGGGAGAAGGCACGCUGACACGUAGGUGAAGUGAUUUACUCACGGAGCUGAAGUCAGUCGAAGAUACCAGCUGGCUGCAACUGUUUAUUAAAAACACAGCACUGUGCAAACACGAAAGUGGACGUAUACGGUGUGACGCCUGCCCGGUGCCGGAAGGUUAAUUGAUGGGGUCAGCGCAAGCGAAGCUCCUGAUCGAAGCCCCGGUAAACGGCGGCCGUAACUAUAACGGUCCUAAGGUAGCGAAAUUCCUUGUCGGGUAAGUUCCGACCUGCACGAAUGGCGUAAUGAUGGCCAGGCUGUCUCCACCCGAGACUCAGUGAAAUUGAACUCGCUGUGAAGAUGCAGUGUACCCGCGGCAAGACGGAAAGACCCCGUGAACCUUUACUAUAGCUUGACACUGAACAUUGAGCCUUGAUGUGUAG
rnacentral:rRNA from 2 species